rnacentral:rRNA from 1 species
UACGGGGGGGGCAAGCGUUGUUCGGAAUUACUGGGCGUAAAGGGCUCGUAGGCGGCCAACUAAGUCGGAUGUGAAAUCCCCAGGCUUAACCUGGGAACUGCAUCCGAUACUGGAUGGCUUGAAUUCGGGAGAGGGAUGCAGAAUUCCAGGUGUAGCGGUGAAAUGCGUAGAUAUUUGGAGGAAUACCGGUGGCGAAGGCGGCAUCCUGGACCGACAUUGACGCUGAGGAGCGAAAGCUAGGGGAGCAAACGGG